UGAGGAAUAUUGGGUCAAUGGGCGGGAGCCUGAACCAGCCAAGUCGCGUGAGGGAGGAAGGUCCUACGGAUUGUAAACCUCUUUAGCCGGGGAGCAACGUGCGCCACGUGUGGCGCAGUGAGAGUACCCGGAGAAUAAGCAUCGGCUAACUCCGUGCCAGCAGCCGCGGUAAUACGGAGGAUGCGAGCGUUAUCCGGAUUUAUUGGGUUUAAAGGGUGCGCAGGCGGCGCGAAAAGUCAGCGGUCAAAGUUCCGGGCUCAACCCGGUGACGCCGUUGAAACUUUCGUGCUGGAGUUCGUGCGAGGGAGG
rnacentral:rRNA from 1 species